rnacentral:lncRNA from 1 species
AAUGUCAUUGAUUCAAUGGACUUAAUUAAGUAUAAUGGGAAUAGGUCUUAUAAUUAGUGUAAAUAAAAGUGAAAUAAUUAGAAGGAUGUUAGUAUUGUAUUUCACAAUGACCAUGAUGACAUACAGGAAUAGAAUUUUGAAAAUUUUAUUGUAAGUAAUAAUUUCAUACUUAAUGCGAAUUAUAAUUAUGAUAAUUGUAUAUUUUUUUUGUUUUGUGUAUGGUCUCCUUAAAGUUUUAUUUUGAGGAGGAUUAAGGGGGAUGGGGCAAAUGGGCCCGGGCAUUCCCUUUUUGAUAAAAUUUUGUUUGAUUAAUCUAUUUAGGGAUCAAAUCACUGAAGCAUGAUUUGUACGGGUCCCUUUAAAAAAAUUCUGGAUUUGCCACAGGCAUACAGAAAUUAAGGAUGUUUUAUAAUUUUAAGAAAUUCUAAUAUAUAUCUAUAUAUAUGCAUUAGUGAUAAAUUUAAUAAUCGUGUCACCUAAGGAUAUUUGCCUGUAGAUGUUUUAUGUCCCACCUUUGGGCAUUAUGCUUUCUAAUGAGUCAUGAGUAUGAGUCUGUUCCUCCAUCUGUCUGUCCGGCUUCAAGUUUUUGAUGAAGUUGAAGUCCAAUCAACUUGAAACUUAGUACAUGUUCCCUAUGAUAUGAUCUUUCUUAUUUUAUUAUCCAAUUAGAGUUUUGCCCCCAAUUUCAUGGUCCUCUAAACAUAUAAAAAUGAUAGUGCUAGUGGGUCAUCUGUUCACUAUGGACACAUUAUUGUUAUUGAUUUAAAUGCAAAGUAUUAAGAAUAAGUUUCUGAAUUUCACCAGUUGAUAAUUCCCUACACAAUUUAAAAUUCAAGAAUUUUGUACAAGUAUGUACCACUUGAAAGUAUAUUUGACAUGGAUGAGAGUUUAGAUGGGGUUUACAAAUUAGAGAAUAACAGGCAAAAUGUACAGAAUAAAGGUAAAAAAAAAAUAAUAGGGAAAAGAAAGAAACUAAAAACUAAAUAAAUAUUAGAAAAUUUAACAGGGUGCUGAAAUGAAAUAUAAAAAUAGAGAUUAAAGAAAAACAAUUUAAUAUACAUGUCUUAAAGAAUAAAGAUACAUGUAUACAGAACCCCUAUCUAGACCUUAAUAAAUCAAGCCAUAUAAACACAUAAAUGACAAAUACUCUGAUAAUUGUGAUUAGGUCAGACAGGAGUUUGUCUGCAAAAGACUCAUAAGUAACUCGAUCUCCAAUAAAAAAAAAUGAAAGGCCAAAUAAUUUACAAAAUUAAAAAACUUUGAUAAUAAUCAAGAGAAAAACUGAGAAAGACAUAUAUCUAUGAUUCAUACAUAAAAUACAAAACUUAGAACCUGAAAUUGAAAAAUUAUAAACAGUCAGGGGCGUUACUUAAACAAGUAGUUUUUUCACGUUACUAUAAAGUAAUUUUUGUUUUUGAAAAUAAUAAGAUUACUUAAUCAUGUUAAUAGAGUUAUUUUAAAUUUGAAUAGAAGCAUAGAUUAAAUGUAGUUUGAAUGAGUUUUUAUAUAAUUUUAUAUGAUAAAAUAAAGAAUUUAUUAGAUUGGAGAGGAGUAUGGAGAUAAAGGUUUAUAAUGACAAAAACAUUACUUGAAUAAGUUAUUUUUAUACAUUUUAAUUUUUUUUAGUAAUAACACUUAUUUAAGAAACACAUGUAGUUGAUUUGGGUUAGCAGUUAUAAAUAACUUGAAAUCUUAAUUAAUUCACAAGUAUGUUAACUUUCUAUUUAUACCAGUCUACCUUCAAGAUUUUGGAGGAAAAUGAUAAUUUAAUAGUCCCUGAAGAGACCAAUCUAAAUUUACCCAGAAGUAUCCAUAUGAAAGAUAAGUGAUAAUUAAGUGCAUCAGCAAGUUAAUUAGUGUUUCAGAAGAAAUUUAUAUUUCAUGGGGAAAAUAACCAGAUGACUGUGAAAAUUUGUUAAAGCUAGUAAAAUCUGCAUUUUUGGACACCUAUAAAAAUAAUAUUUAGAAAAGUUACCUAAUAUAUAAGUAGUAUUGAAAAUAGCUAGCCUGGUUUUCAACAUAACUUAUAUAGGCAGUUUUAAAUGUUACUUGUUUAAAUAAUGCCCCUGACUUAUGAUUUUUUGUUUGUUUGUCAAAAGUUUUAUUUUCUAUUUAGCUCACCUGACCUAAGAGGCCAUGUGAGCUUUUGCCAUCCCUUGGCAUUAAUUGUUGAAUCAUCCAUUAAUGUCUGGUGUACACUUUUUCAUAGAUCUUCUCUUCUGAAACUACUGUAAUUAAUUAAUUUUAACCAAACUUUGGCUAAAUGAUCCUUAGGGUAUCUAGUAUAUAUUUUGUAAUUUUUAGCUCAGUGAGGCCCGAAGGGCCCGAUGUGAGCUUACGCCAUCACUUGGCGUCCUAUGUCGUCUGUCGUCGUAAACUAUUUAAAAAAUCUUCUCCUCUGAAACUACUGGGCCAAAUACAUGUACCUUCAAACUUUAACUAAAUGUUCCUAAGGGUAUCUAGUUUAUAAAUUGUAUCCGAAGUUUUGAUCCAUUGACAAACAUGGACGCCAUGGCUAAAAAUAGAACAUACUGGUCAAAUGCAGUUUUGUUAAUUGGCCCCUUAAGGAGUUAUUGCCCUUUAAAGUCAAUUUUACACAAUUUGUUGAUCAAGUUUGCUAAUUAUAUAUAACAUUUAAAAAUCUUCUCUGAAAUACAGAUGAGCGAUUCAGGCUCUUGAGAGUCUCUUGUUAUCUUGUCCUUUAAUUAAGAAACACUGCAUAGUUUGGUAAAAAACAAUAACUUUAAUAUUUAACGUAGCAUUUCAAGAUUAAUCUGCCUUUAAAAUUAAGACCAAUCUUGAAAACCCUUGGCUAUUUGAAGUUAUUGCUCCUGCAAUAGCAAGUUCCCACAAUUUAUACAUGUUAUAUAUAUAUGUUCUUGUUAACAACAAUGAUUGUCAUAUAUUGAAAACAAUUAUAGAUCAUAAAUAAGAUAAAUUUAAAACAGCAAAAUAGUAGUGUGGAUCCUUAUAUGAGUUAUUGCCCUUGAAAGACAAAAUUUUAGCAGAAUUUCAAGUUUCAUGCAGGAAGUAUGAUAGAUGUAGAGACAUUUAUUUAUGUUCAGCUAAGUUAAAGAUCUGCGAAUAAGCUUACAUCAUGACCAAAAUAGUUAAUUGAUCCUUUAUAGGAUUUUUUGUCCUUAAGAAAUUAUUUUACCAAAAGUUAUGUUUUUUUGCAGAUAAUAAUAGAAAGAAGGAAUUUUAAUUUUUUUUUAAGUGAUAAAUAUGUUCAGCAAAGUAAGAUCUGGGAAUAGGACUUGUAUUAUUUUAAAUUGCCAAUUGAUCCUUCAAAGCUGUUAUUGCCCUUGAAAGAAUAUAUUACCAAAUAUUUUUUUCUUCGGUUUUUUGAUUUUUGAUUUUUUUUUUUAUGGAAGUAUUAUAUUUCAUUUUUCUUCCAAUGGUCGAAUAUAGAAAAGCAGAAAUUUAAGUAGCCCACACCAAUUAUAGGGGCCAUUGGCGAUUGGGCCCCUGCUAAUUUAAGUUUUUCAUAGUAAAGAAGUGUCUUCAUCAGAAUUACAGUUUACAUGUGUUGUUUACAUUAAUGUCAUUAAUUAGUUCUGCACAGUUAAAUGUUAGAAGGAACUCUUUAGUUCACAUAAAUUCUUUUAUAGCUGUUUAACUAAUUCACCAAUGUUUCUAUUUCUUUUGAAUCCUAUUGAUAGGUUUUUAUUGAAUUUGUCACCUAUUGUAGAAUCUAUUUUGAUAAGAUUCCAGUAUUUCCUGAAUAUUGUUUGAAGUUUUCUGCUUAAGAAUUCGAUUGAUUAUUCGUAAUGAAUGAUAUAUUUUAUCUAUUUUCAACUUUGUUCUUUUUCUAGACAUAUAAAUUCAUAGAAAUUGAUUCAAUAUUCACCUAUUUAGGUGAAAAUCCUAAACUCUGUCCUGAUUUCAUAGACAGAAUUUCAUAGAAAUUAAUCUAAUAUCUAUCUAUCCAUUAGUGCAUAUCACAAUUUUAAAUUAAAUAAAUGUGCCUUCAAGUAGUUCAUGUGUAAAAAAAAAAUGCUAAGGAUAAUGCUGUGGAUUCAUUUAAAUUUUGUGGUCACAUGUAUCAAUUUUUGUGGAUUAAAGAACUAUGGUAUACAAAUCGUCUGUCUGUCCGCGUAAACACCGUAACUUAAACUUAUCUAAAUUUCAUGAAACUUAAUAUAGUUGUUCUUUAUGAUGGUCAAAUGAUCUGUAUACUUUUUGGUGAAAAUAAGAUUUAAACUUUUUGAGUUACGGCACUUUGUAACUAAAACAGGGGUGUGUUUUUUUUUCACAUGUUGCACCGUAUCUCAAAAACGAUUCUUGAUUAUUGCUUAAAACUUUACACACUUCUUAGUUAUAUUAAUCUUAAUAUCUGUAUACUUUUUGGUGAUGAUUCAAAAUUUCAUUUUUGAGUUAUUGAGUAUUUUGUAAAAAAAAAAGGGGAGGGUUUUUUACAUGUCGCGCUGUAUCUCACAAACGAUUUAUGAUUAUGGCUUAAAACUUUACACACUUCUUUGUUAUAUUAAUCUUAAGAUCUGUAUACUUUUUGGUGAUGAUUCAAAAUUUCAUUUUUGAGUUAUUGAGUAUUUUGUAAAAAAGGGGAGGGGUUUUACAUGUCGUGCCGUAUUCAAAAACGAUUUAUGAUUAUUGCUUAAAACUUUACACACUUCUUUUUAUAUUAAUCUAAAGAUCUGUAUAUAUUUUUGUGGAUGCAAUUUAGAUUUUAUUGUGAGUUUUUUUUUAACAUGCUUAAAAACAAUUUAUGAUUAUUGCUUGAAACUGUACACACUUCUUUGUUAUAUUAAUCUAAAGAUCUGUAUACUUUUUGGUUUGAUUCAAAAUUUUAUUUUAGUGAUAUUUGUAAAAAAAAACAGGGUGGGGUGGUUUCACAUGUCCCGCCGUGUCUUAAAAGCAAUAAAUGGUAAUUGCUUAAAACUUUCUCAGAAACUAUUUAUGAUUAUUGCAUAAAACUUCCACACAAUACGUCAGGGCGUAUCAUGCGCUCAUGGCGCAGCUGUUUAUUUCAUAGUCUGUAUACAACCCGAUGGCAAAUUUAUAAUUCGUUUAACAUUUAAAUUCGUGACUCAGCUGUUUCAAUGAAAACCACGAAAAUUGAUAUCCCAUGAAUAAUAAUGAAUCCACAUUGAACAUUUUCAGCAUGAAGGUUUAUGCCAUUCUGUUCUUAUUUCAGAUUGACAUAUCUGUAGGACAUGCAGUUAGCCUAGACAAAUAGGAAGAGAAAGGUCUUUGAUUCUGAGUUCUCUGUGAAGUUCAAGGUCUUUUUUAGUCUAAAUUAUAAUGGGAAGAUGUGAACGGUAAGUUUGAAAGUUUGAAAUUGUGCAAAAAUAUGUUAUUUUUAACAAAAUGUGCUGUUUCACAAAUAAAAUCCUCUGUCUCUUAGCAAUGCUUAGACACUUAUGUAGCAAUAAGGCCACUAUAUUGGUAUAUGAAAUGAUUGUAAGCUGUAUUUGCUUGACUGGUUAAACUGACCAUGCCUUCAUUUUCAUGGAUCAAGUUUAUGUGAUAUUAUUAAAAAAAAAAAUUUUCAAUCAUAAGUAAAGCAGGCUUAGUUGUUAAUUUAUGUGUCAUUUGGGCUCUUGUGGAGAGUAAAUGUCUCAUUGGCAAUAAUGAAUUAUACCACAUCUUUUUUAUAUGACAUUUGAAUGUUGCAUUUAUAUAUAUAUAUAUAUAUAUAUACAUAUUGCAAUCACUCAUUAGCUGGCCAAUUGUUUAUUAGCAUCCAUGUUCACAAAUAACUACAUUUGUGCAAUAAUGGGAUGAUUUUGUGGCACCAUGUACUUUAACUGUUCUAGAGUAAUGCCCCUUUACAAACAAACAAAAGUGCUGAAUUUUGUUUCCAUUUUCUAACUUUUAUAAGUUUGCCUCUGAACCAAAUGCUAUGAAAUCAAUACACAGCAAUGCUUAUUACCACAAAAUACAGAUCAAGUAUGUAUUAAGGGGGUGGUGUCACUUAACUGUUCUGUAGUUAUGCCCCUUUACAAAUGAAAAAUAUGCUUAUAUUUAUAGUUUCCGUUCUCUAACUUUGAUUUGCCUCAACUAAAUGCAAUUAAACUUAUACACAAUGCUUGUUACCACAAAAUACAGAUCAAGUUUGAAUUUUAAGGGGGUCACUUUAACCGUUCUAGAAUUAUGCCCCUUCACAAAUUGAAUGAUUGCUGAAAUUUUCAUUUCCAUUCACUUACUUUAAUUAGCUUGCCUCAACCAAAUGCUAUGACAUGUAUGAAUAAUUGUACACAAUAUUUAUUACCACAAAAUACAGAUCAAGUUUGACUUUUGAGGUUGUCAUUAAAUUUUUUAGAGUUAUGUCCCUUUGAAAAUGGAAAAAUUGCUGGAUUUGUGUUUCCUUUCUCUAAAUUAAGUUUGCAUAAACUAAAUUUUAUGAAACUUAUACACAAUACCUAUUACCACUAAAUCAGAUCAAGUGUUUUCGGUAGAGUCACUUUUACUGUUCUUCAGUUAUGUCCUUUUAUAACUUUAUAUGAUAUGCAAGCGUGGGCAUCAUCUGUGAUCCAUUGAUACAUUCCCCAUUUAAUUUUUUGUUAAACAUCAAUUUUUUAAUUUUUUGGUUGUCAGAGCUGAUUAAUGCCCCAUUUGUUUGUAGGUAAGAAUUGGUAAAGUAACACACACACAUAUAUAUAUCAAAAAAUGAAAACACCAGAUUAGAAAAAAAAGAUGCAGUAUGAUUGCUAAGGAAACAACUGCCAUAAUAAUUAUAAGAACAAAAUUUAAACAUCAUCAGAGUAUUAAGGCUUCAAUUAUUGAAGAAAACAAAUGACAUACAGUAAGCUAUGAAAGGACCUGUGAUAACAAAUUCAUCUAUUAUCAUGAUUAUAAGACAGAACAAAAUAUGUCGGGGGGGGGGGGGGAAAUCAUGAAUAUUAAUAUGCCUGAAGGACUUUAGAAUAUUGAACUUGAAUUGACUUUUCUUUGUAGGAUACAAAGAAAUCUUGGAGGACAAAUUGGUGCGAGUCUUAAAAGACACAGAUUUGAAGAUAAAUGAAAGAAAAAGAAUGACAAACAUAGUUUAAAGGACUGCAGACUUCCUGAUAUCUUUCAAACUGUUCUUUUGGUAUACAUGGUAUAAAUGUAAUAUUGCAAUAUCAUUUUAUUUGUAUAGGUAUACAUCCUGUAAAUCUUGUUGGUGCCUUUUAGCUCCUUAAAUGCAACCACUAUUUAGUAAACAUUGUCAUGAUUGUUGUUCUAUAUGUGAGCUUAUUAGUUAACUAGAGC